rnacentral:rRNA from 1 species
ACAGCAGUCGCCACGGGAAUACGAAGGGGGCUAGCGUUGCUCGGAAUGACUGGGCGUAAAGGGCGCGUAGGCGGCGAUCAAAGUCAGGCGUGAAAUUCCUGGGCUCAACCUGGUGGCUGCGCUUGAUACUUGGUUGCUUGAGUGGGGAAGAGGGUCGUGGAAUUCCCAGUGUAGAGGUGAAAUUCGUAGAUAUUGGGAAGAACACCGGUGGCGAAGGCGGCGACCUGGUCCUUGACUGACGCUGAGGCACGAAAGCGUGGGGAGCAAACAGGAUUAGAUACCCGCGUAGUCCCUGUCUCUUAUAC